rnacentral:rRNA from 1 species
AUAUUAGUAGGCGGUGGAAGAUAAUCCAAAAGGGAUUCCUUCAGUAAUGGCGAAUGAACGGGGAAAAGCUCAGCAAAGAAAUCGAGGACUCCGGCCUUGAGUUGUGGACUUGAGAGGUAUCGCCAAUGGUGGCACAGGUGGGGGCCUCUUGGAAAAGGGCACCACAGAGGGUGUGAGUCCUGUUUGCCAUCUGUAGUCCGCUGUGUACGGCAUGCCUCCUCCGAGUCACGUUCCUUGGAAUUGGAGCGCGAAGGUGGUGGUGGCUUUCAUCUCAAGCUAAGUAUGGGUUCGAGACCGAUAGCAAACAAGUACCAUGAGGGAAAAUUGAAAAGAGCUUUGGAAAGAGAGUUAAAAGUGCCCGAACUUGCUGAUAGGGAAGCGAAGGGAGCUGACGUUGCUUGGUAACAUCUUCCGCGCAGGACUAGGAUGGGUUCUGAUUGCAAUGUGUGUUGUGUUUCUUGCCAUGCGUGUCAAUGCCAAGUAAUGAGUGGGGAGAGCUCCAGGGAUAAUGAUUGUUUCUGUCCCCGGGUAGACGAAUAUGUCUGGGUGCAUCCAUUUGUGGGCUGAAAAAUUGGUGGUUGGUUGCAGCUCCCUGCCUACGAGGCAAUUGGGGUGUAGCCCUGACACGCAGACGAGGACAAAGUGCUUCUGUUCGACCCGUCUUGAAACACGGACCAAGGAGUCUGACACUCAUGCAAGCUCGUUGGUGGGUAAACUUCUUUGCGUAAUUAAGGUGUCUGUUGUGAUUUGUGCACCAACGCCCGACCAAUCAAUUGAGAGAGGUUUGAGUGUGAGCAUUUCUGUCAGGACCCGAAAGAUGGUGAACUAUGCUUGAGAAGGGUAAAUUCAGGGGAAACUCUGAUUGAGGCUCGUAGCGAUACUGACGUGCAAAUCGUUCGUCAUACUUGGGUAUAGGGGCGAAAGACUAAUCGAACCAUCUAG